CACCUCUCAGGGUCGCAACUGGAGAGUUUCUGGUACUCUACCAGUCUUGACUAUGAGAGGGAGAGUCCAGUAGAGACACAUCCAUUCCACUACUAGCUUGGGUAGUGGCUAGAGAGUGGAAGGCAAUCUGCUAUAAGU